ACUAAACUAAUCAACUCAGCC
rnacentral:miRNA from 1 species